rnacentral:misc_RNA from 1 species
CAACCCUCAAGACACCUAGUUGGUGGCUUGGUGUUGGGGACCGGCGAUGGCCCUGCGAUGGCAGGCGCGCCGCCGGCCCCGAAAUGAAUUGGCGGUCUCGUCGCGACCUCCUCUGCGUAGUAGCACAACCUCGCAACAGGAGCGCGGCGCGGCCACCGCCGUAAAACGCCCCCAACUUCUCUCAAGAG